rnacentral:rRNA from 1 species
GACGAACGCUGGCGGCGUGCUUAACACAUGCAAGUCGAGCGGAAAGGCCCUUUCGGGGGUACUCGAGCGGCGAACGGGUGAGUAACACGUGAGUAAUCUGCCCUUGGCUUUGGGAUAACCACCGGAAACGGUGGCUAAUACCGGAUAUGACGGGCUCCGGCAUCGGGGUUCGUGGAAAGUUUUUUUCGGCCAGGGAUGUGCUCGCGGCCUAUCAGCUUGUUGGUGGGGUAAUGGCCUACCAAGGCUUCGACGGGUAGCCGGCCUGAGAGGGUGACCGGCCACACUGGGACUGAGACACGGCCCCAGACUCCUACGGGAGCAGCAGUGGGGAAUAUUGGACAAUGGGCGAAAGCCUGAUCCAGCAACGCCGCGUGAGGGGAUGACGGCCUCGGGUUGUAAACCGUCGUUUCAGUACCGUACGAA